UUUUUAUUAUUUUUUUUCUGCUCGUGUUAGUAGUUAGUUUAAGUUUGUUCCAUAUUAAUUGGUCUUAACAAAUCCCAAACUUGCCAUCUCUGGUUUGAUUGCUGAAUGAUUGUUAAUUGCGUUUGUGAAAUUGAGUGAUAGGUCUUGUUUAACCUCUAUAGUUCCCUUGAUUCUAACAAUACCAUGUUGGCCUCUGAAAUUGAAUGCUGUUUUAAAUUCGUGCAAGUAGAAAAAAAGGUCUGGACUGUUCUGAUAAUUAUUCAUUAGUGUUAGUGAUCUCCUGAUUAUUUUAAGUUCAAAAUUUUUAAUUAAUGACUCACAUGUUUUGAAGAACCAAUUGCCAAGUUUUGAAUAAUAAUUUCCCUUGUGUUGGGUUUGAGUUUCUAAUCUGAUUGCUGAAUUUGGAUUGUUUGUCUUUGAGUAGUGUUGUUUGGAUUGGUUAUAGCUGUUAGUAUUAGGAAAUUAGUCUUAGGAGUUAAUUUUGACACCAAAUAGAUAAUUGAAGGGUAGCACAUGAUUUGUACAGUCAUUUCUGAUAAAUUAAAGAUUAUCAAGGGCAAUAUGGACUUUUCAGGUUAUUUGUGGUAAUAUUGGGAACCAACAAGGGUAAUAUAGGUAGCAUAUAAAGGAUAGGAAAUGGUAGAAGUGUUUAGACCCUUCUAGAAGGGGUCUUUAAUACUAAAUCAGUAAUAUUGCUGCAGUAACUUGGGAAAUAAGUCAUGAAAUGAGGGUUCAAAUAAGUAAUAUAUGGAAAUUAAAGAGGGACUUAAGGGUAAAGCACAAUAAAAAGGAUGCCCUAGUCUUUGGCUAUAUAAAUGGGUUAAAAUAACUCAAAAAAGGGGUUGGGGGAAAAUCUGGAAAAGUAUCUCUAUAACCCUCUCAGAAUUAUGAAGUUAAAAUCCCUGAAACAUCAGCAAUUUCACGGUGCCAUUGCUCAUUUUUAGUGGCGUUUGGUCAUAUCCUGUUUUGAGACCAAUUUUGCCUCAAUUAGGCUGGAAGUAGUCGAGUUUGGCUUUUAGAAAUUUGAUUCUGAAGCUGCUGUAAUCCUAGCCUAUUUCACUGUUGCAUUACUUUCCUGGGGUUUUGAAAGUUGAAAAUAUGAAGUUGCUGGGGCUCUAUUGGUUUUUGGGGUGUACGUCUGGGUUAUAUGCUGUCUCUGUUGUUGAUUGCUGUGGCUGAAUCUGCUGACUUCCCUCUUUUCCUAUUGCAUUGUGAUUUCCAGGUACAUUACUUAAAGCUCAUCCAUGUACAAGCC
rnacentral:lncRNA from 1 species